rnacentral:ncRNA from 1 species
UUAACACAUGCAAGUCGAGCGAGGAAAUUACUUCGGUAAUUUCCUAGCGGCGGACGGGUGAGUAACACGUGGGCAACCUGCCUGAUAGAGGGGGAUAGCCUCCCGAAAGGGAGAUUAAUACCGCAUAAAGUCAAAUGAAGGCAUCUUNNNNNNNNNNAGCUAAGUCGGGAAGGGAUAAACGCUGAAGGCAUCUAAGCGUGAAGCCCACCUCAAGAUAAGAUUUCCCAUAGAGUAAUCUAGUAAGAUCCCUUGAAGAACACAAGGUUGAUAGGUGAGAGGUGU